UACGUAGGGGGCAAGCGUUGUCCGGAUUUAUUGGGCGUAAAGAGCGUGUAGGCGGCUAGGUAGGUCCGUUGUGAAAACUCGAGGCUCAACCUCGAGACGUCGAUGGAAACCAUCUGGCUAGAGUCCGGAAGAGGAGAGUGGAAUUCCUGGUGUAGCGGUGAAAUGCGCAGAUAUCAGGAAGAACACCCGUGGCGAAGGCGGCUCUCUGGACAGUUCCUGACGCUGAGGCACGAAGGUCAGGGGAGCAAACGGG
rnacentral:rRNA from 1 species